ACGGAGGAUGCAAGCGUUAUCCGGAUUCAUUGGGUUUAAAGGGUGCGCAGGCGGAAUGAUAAGUCAGUGGUGAAAUCCUACGGCUCAACUGUAGAACUGCAAUUGAUACUGUUGAUCUUGAGUACACUUGGAGUGGGCAGAAUGUGACAUGUAGCGGUGAAAUGCUUAGAUAUGUCACAGAACACCGAUGGCGAAGGCAGCCCACUGAGUUGUAACUGACGCUCAGGUACGAAAGCGUGGGGAUCAAACAG
rnacentral:rRNA from 1 species